rnacentral:rRNA from 1 species
GAUGAACGCUGGCGGCGUGCUUAACACAUGCAAGUCGAACGGAAAGGCCCUGCUUUUGUGGUGUGCUCGAGUGGCGAACGGGUGUGUAACACGUGAGUAACCUGCCCUUGACUUUGGGAUACCUUCAGGAAUCUGGGGCUAAUACCGGAUAGGAGCUCCUGCUGCAUGGUGUGGGUUGGAAAGUUUCGGCGGUUGGGGAUGGACUCGCGGCUUAUCAGCUUGUUGGUGGGGUAGUGGCUUACCAAGGCGUUGACGGGUAGCCGGCCUGAGAGGGUGACCGGCCACACUGGGACUGAGAUACGGCCCAGACUCCUACGGGAGGCAGCAGUGGGGAAUAUUGCACAAUGGGCGGAAGCCUGAUGCAGCGACGCCGCGUGAGGGAUGACGGCCUUCGGGUUGUAAACCGCUUUCGCCAGUGACGAAGCGUGAGUGACGGUACUGGGUAAAGAAGCACCGGCUAACUACGUG